rnacentral:misc_RNA from 1 species
GUAGGUGAACCUGCGGAAGGAUCAUUAAUGAAUCAAAUUCGGUCUUCUGUGCUGGUGGAAACACAUGUGCACGUUGAUCGUAAUUCCAUCCUCCUCCCAACCGUCCAUGUGUGUGUUUGGUCGACCUCGGUCGAAGAGUUGUGGCCCUUGGCCCCGAUUCGUUCCAGAUGCACCUUGGUUAUUUCACCCACUCUGGGUACUAGAAACAAAGAACAUUUUAUAUAAACUAUACAACUUUCAACAACGGAUC